AGAGUUUGAUCCUGGCUCAGGACGAACGCUGGCGGCGUGCUUAACACAUGCAAGUCGAAGGAAAGGCCCUGCUUGCAGGGUACUCGAGUGGCGAACGGGUGAGUAACACGUGGGUGAUUGCCCUGCACUUUGGGAUAAGCCUGGGAAACUGGGUCUAAUACCGAAUAUGACUCUUCUUAGUGUGGAGAGUGGAAAGCUUUUGCGGUGUGGGAUGAGCCCGCGGCCUAUCAGCUUGUGGUGGGGUAAUGGCCUACCAAGGCGUCGACGGGUAGCCGGACUGAGAGGUCGAUCGGCCCAUUGGGACUGAGACACGGCCCAGACUCCUACGGGAGGCAGCAGUGGGGAAUAUUGCACAUGGGCGCAAGCCUGAUGCAGCGACGCCGCGUGGGGGAUGACGGCCUUCGGGUUGUAAACUCUUUCGCUAGGGACGAAGCGUAAGUGACGGUACCUAGAUAAGAAGCACCGGCUAACUCGUGCCAGCAGCCGCGGUAAUACGUAGGGUGCGAGCGUUGUCCGGAAUUACUGGGCGUAAGAGCUCGUAGGUGGUUUGUCGCGUCGUCUGUGAAAUACCGGGGCUUAACUUCGGACCUCAGGCGAUACGGGCAUAACUUGAGUGCUGUAGGGGAGACUGGAAUUCCUGGUGUAGCGGGAAAUGCGCAGAUAUCAGGAGGAACACCGAUGGCGAGGCAGGUCUCUGGGCAGUAACUGCGCUGAGGAGCGAAAGCAUGGGUAGCGAACAGGAUUAGAUACCCUGGUAGUCCAUGCUGAAACGGUGGGCGCUAGGUGUAGGGGUCUUCCACGACUUCUGUGCCGUAGCUAACGCAUUAGCGCCCCGCCUGGGGGAGUACGGCCGCAAGGCUAAAACUCAAAGGAAUUGACGGGGGC
rnacentral:rRNA from 1 species